rnacentral:misc_RNA from 1 species
GAUGAAGAACGUAGCGAAAUGCGAUAAGUAGUGUGAAUUGCAGAAUUCAGUGAAUCAUCGAAUCUUUGAACGCACAUUGCGCCCUUUGGUGUUCCUUAGGGCAUGCCUGUUCGAGCGUCAUUUAAACCUUCAAGCUAAGCUUGGUGUUGGGUGACUGUCCGCUUCACGGCGGACUCGCCUCAAAAUUAUUGGCGGCCGGUACAUUGGCUUCGAGCGCAGCAGAAACGCGAACUCGGGCCCGUCGUAUUGGCUCCCAGAAGCUAUCUUCACAAUUUUGACCUCGGAUCAGGUAGGGAUACCCGCUGAACUUAAGCAUAUCAAUAAGCGGAGGA